rnacentral:rRNA from 1 species
UGCGCCUUGCCAGCCCGCUCAGAAACUCAAAGGAAUUGACGGGACCCCGCACAAGCGGUGGAUCAUGUUGUUUAAUUCGAUGAUACGCGAAGAACCUUACCAGGUCUUGACAUCCCCCGCGAUGCUUUAGAGAUAAAGCGGAGGUAUUCGGGGAGACAGGUGGUGCAUGGUUGUCGUCAGCUCGUGUCGUGAGAUGUUGGGUUAAGUCCCGCAACGAGCGCAACCCCUAUUGCUAGUUACCAUCAUUAAGUUGGGGACUCUAGCGAGACUGCCAGUGAUAAACUGGAGGAAGGUGGGGAUGACGUCAAAUCAUCAUGCCCCUUAUGACCUGGGCUACAAACGUGAUACAAUGGCUGGAACAAAGGGAUGCGAAGCAGUGAUGUGGAGCGAAACCCAUAAAAACAGUCUCAGUUCGGAUUGAAGUCUGCAACUCGACUUCAUGAAGUCGGAAUCGCUAGUAAUCGCGGAUCAGAACGCCGCGGUGAAUACGUUCUCGGGGUUU